GACGAACGCUGGCGGCGUGCUUAACACAUGCAAGUCGAACGGAAAGGCCCUGCUUUUGUGGGGUGCUCGAGUGGCGAACGGGUGAGUAACACGUGCGUAACCUGCCCUUGACUUUGGGAUAACUUCAGGAAACUGGGGCUAAUACCGGAUAGGAGCUCCUGCUGCAUGGUGGGGGUUGGAAAGUUUCGGCGGUUGGGGAUGGACUCGCGGCUUAUCAGCUUGUUGGUGGGGUAGUGGCUUGCCAAGGCUUUGACGGGUAGCCGGCCUGAGAGGGGGACCGGCCACAUUGGGACUGAGAUACGGCCCAGACUCCUACGGUAGGCAGCAGUGGGGAAUAUUGCACAAUGGGCGGAAGCCUGAUGCAGCACCGCCGCGUGCGGGAUGACGGCCUUCGGGUUGUAAACCGCUUUCGCCUGUGACGAAGCGUGAGUGACGGUAAUGGGUAAAGAAGCACCGGCUAACUACGUG
rnacentral:rRNA from 1 species